GGUUUGAUCCUGGCUCAGAUUGAACGCUGGCGGGAUGCUUUACACAUGCAAGUCGAACGGCAGCACGGACUUCGGUCUGUGGCGAGUGGCGAACGGGUGAGAAAUGUAAUGGAACGCUCAGUAGCGGGGGAUAACUACGCGAAAGCGUAGCUAAUACCGCAUAUCGCCCUUCGGGGGAAAGCGGGGACCUUCGGGCCUCGCACUAUUAGAGCGGCCGAAUGGAUUAGCUAGUUGGUGGUAACGGCUCACCAAGGCGACGAUCCGUAGCCGGCGGGUUUUGAGGAGGACGACCAGCCACACUGGGACUGAGACACGGCCCAGACUCCUACGGGAGGCAGCAGUGGGGAAUUUUGGACAAUGGGGAAACCUCGAUCCAGCCAUCCCGCGUGUGCGAUGAAGGCCUCCGGGUUGUAAAGCACCUUUACAGGAAAGAACGGUACGGAUAAUACCCCGUGCAACUGACGGUACUGGGGUAUUAAGCACCGGCUAACUACGUGCCAGCAGCCGCGGUAAUGCUGUAGGGUGCAAGCGUUAAUCGGAAUUACUGGGCGUAAAAGCGUGCAGCGCAGGCGGUUCAAAAGAAAGAUGUGAAAUCCCAGAGCUUAACUUUGGAACUGCAUUUUUAACUACCGAGCUAAGAGUGUGUCAGAGGGAGGUGGAAUUCCGCGUGUAGCAGUGAAAUGCGUAGAUAUGCGGAGGAACACCGAUGGCGAAGGCAGCUUCCCUGGGAUAACACUGACGCUCAUGCACGAAAGCGUGGGGAGCAAACAGGAUUAGAUACUCCGGUAGUCCACGCCCUAAACGAUGUCAACUAGCUGCUGGGCUUCUGGCCUGGUAGCGCAGCUAACGCGUGAAGUUGACCGCCUGGGAGUAAUGGACAAGAUUGGAAACUCAAAGGAAGGACGGGGGACCCGCACAAGCGGUGGAUGAUGUAGAUUGACUGAUGCAACGCGAAAAAACCUACCUACCCUGACAUGUUCGAAUCCUGAAGAGAUUUGGGGAGUGCUCGCAAGAGAACUGGAACACAGGUGCUGCAUGGCUGUCGUCAGCUCGUGUCGUGAGAUGUUGGGUUAAGUCCUACAACGAUGCAACCCUGGUCAUUAGUUGCUACGAAAGGGCACUCUAAUGAGACUGCCGGUGACAAACCGGAGGAAGGUGGGGGGAUGACGUCAAGUCCUCGCAGUUCUUAUGGGUAGGGCUUCACACGUCAUACAAUGGUCGGGACAGAGGGCUUCAACCAGGCGAGUGGGGAGCUAAUCCCAGAAACCCGAUCGUAGUCCGGAUCGUGCAGUUCGUGCACCCGAUCAGUAGUCGGACCGCCAGUAAUCGCGAUCAGCAUGUCGCGGUGAAUACGUUCCCGCAUUUUGUACACACCCGCCCGUCACACCAUGGGAGUGGGUUUUACCAGAAGUAGUUAGCCUAACCGUAAGAGGCGAUUACCGCCACGGUAGGAUUCAUGACUGGGGUGAAGUCGUAACAAGGU
rnacentral:rRNA from 1 species